UCCGGUUUGGCACCGGCAGUCUCCAAUGAGUCCCCGGCAUUACCCGCUGGCAACAUUGGACAGGGGUUGCGCUCGUUGCGCCACUUAAGGCAACACCUCACGGCACGAGCUGACGACAGCCAUGCAGCACCUGUCAUCCGGCUCCCGUGAGGGCACCCCCCUGUUUCCAGGGGGUUCCGGAGAUGUCAAACCCUGGUGAGGUCCUUCGCUUAGUGUCGAAUUAAACCACAUGCUCCACCGCUUGUGUGGAUCCCCGUCAAUUCCUUUGAGUUUUAGCCUUGCGGCCGUACUCCCCAGGCGGGGUACUUAACGCGUUAGCUUAGGCGCGUACGGGGUCGAGACCGCACACACCGAGUACCCAUCGUUUAGGGCGUGGACUAC
rnacentral:misc_RNA from 1 species